GAGAUCUAGUCGCCAAAUCUCCCCUCCGGAGAGCGGGCGGAUCAGUAUUCGGUGAAGCUCGCGAUAGCGAGCGGGGCAAGCCUUUCAGCCCUAACCGGCUAGCUAAGCCCGCAGGCGUUGGAAAGGCCUC
rnacentral:sRNA from 2 species